GACGAACGCUGGCGGCGUGCUUAACACAUGCAAGUCGAACGAAGUGGCGGACGGGUGAGUAACGCGUAAUCAACCUGCCCUUCAGCGGGGGACAACAGUUUGAAACGACUGCUAAUACCGCAUACUGAAGGAGGGGCUUGCGUCGGAUAGGGUAGUUGGAGGGUUAACGGCCCACCAGGGCGAUGAGCAGUCGCAGGUCUGAGAGGAUGAACGGCCACAAUGGGACUGAGACACGGCCCAGACUCCUACGGGAGGCAGCAGUGGGGAAUCUUCCGCAAUGGACGAAAGUCUGACGGAGCAAAGCCGCGUGAGUGAUGACGGCCUUCGGGUUGUAAAGCUCGGUUAAUCGGGACGCGGUACCGGAAUAGAAAGCCACGGCUAACUACGUGCCAGCAGCCGCGGUAAUAC
rnacentral:rRNA from 1 species